UACGUAGGGUGCAAGCGUUGUCCGGAAUUAUUGGGCGUAAAGAGCUCGUAGGCGGUUUGUCGCGUCUGCUGUGAAAACUCGGGGCUUAACCCCGGGCCUGCAGUGGGUACGGGCAGACUAGAGUGCGGUAGGGGAGACUGGAAUUCCUGGUGUAGCGGUGAAAUGCGCAGAUAUCAGGAGGAACACCGGUGGCGAAGGCGGCGUCCUGGACCAACACUGACACUGAUGAGCGAAAGCCAGGGGAGCAAACGGG
rnacentral:rRNA from 1 species